rnacentral:rRNA from 1 species
AUUGAACGCUGGCGGCAGGCUUAACACAUGCAAGUCGAGCGGGGUGAUGGUGCUUGCACUAUCACUUAGCGGCGGACGGGUGAGUAAUGCUUAGGAAUCUGCCUAUUAGUGGGGGACAACAUCUCGAAAGGGAUGCUAAUACCGCAUACGUCCUACGGGAGAAAGCAGGGGAUCACUUGUGACCUUGCGCUAAUAGAUGAGCCUAAGUCGGAUUAGCUAGUUGGUGGGGUAAAGGCCUACCAAGGCGACGAUCUGUAGCGGGUCUGAGAGGAUGAUCCGCCACACUGGGACUGAGACACGGCCCAGACUCCUACGGGAGGCAGCAGUGGGGAAUAUUGGACAAUGGGGGGAACCCUGAUCCAGCCAUGCCGCGUGUGUGAAGAAGGCCUUAUGGUUGUAAAGCACUUUAAGCGAGGAGGAGGCUCUUUUGGUUAAUACCCAAGAUGAGUGGACGUUACUCGCAGAGUAAGCACCGGCUAACUCUGUGCCAGCCGCCACGGUAA